CUGAGACGACUUCCAUGUAAGUCGUCUAGGUAUAACAAAAUAUUGAUUUUUUAAUUUUCUACUAGACGACUUACGUGUAAGUCAUCCAG
rnacentral:pre_miRNA from 1 species